AGAGUUGAUAUACAAGGAAGUCAUGGACCUGGAGGAGAGAACCAAGAAUGGGGUUAUACGCGGACAACCAGCCCCUUUAGGUGCAGCAAUGAUCAAUGGCUCUCCACAUCCAUCCUCAUCGUCAUCUGUCAACGAUGUGUCUUCAAUGUCAACAGAUCCAACAUUGGCCUCUGAUACAGACAGCAGUCUAGAAACCUCAGCUGGUCCUCUGGGUUGCUGCAGAUGACUACUUGGUCUUUUGGGGGGUGGGAGGGGGGUCCUUUUAGUCAUUAAUAGGGCACCUUUAAAAUUUGGUGGUAUUUUUGAGUGUUUUUUCAAAAAUAAUCGUAGAAUUCAUCAUAAAGUGCUGUAAUUUUAAACUGUAAGUUGUGUUAAAAGCAGCCACUUUUUUUGCUGUAAUUAACUGUAAAAUAUUAAACUUGAUAAUUUUUAUUGUGGUUUUAAAAUCUGCAUAUUUGCUUUAUUAUUAUGCUGCUGAUCUUUUUUUACUGAAUUUGUAAGAUUUGUUUUAUCAAAGCACAUAUUAAUGUUGUGGUCAUUACCAUAUAAUGAAUUAUUUAAGAUUUUAUAGGAUUUCAAUUUUUUAAUUAGAAUUUAUUCCAGAUGUUUUGUUCAUGAUAUCCUUCAAAGUUUUAUGCUUGGUCAUAUGUCUGUGUCCAGGUGGAGGGGAAGAGAAUUCAGUGCAGCCAGCUGUAGUUUUGGGCAUACUACUGCAGUGCUGGUGGUGAACAAAAUCCUCUUUUCUUUUGGCCACUUGCCUGUAAUACUUCAGCAAAAGCAACAAUUAAUGAAUUUUUUUAGAGAAACAGUAUACAAUCCUUUGCAAAGUAACCUCAUCUGAAUGGUUUUAUGAACCUCAGAAAGCAAAGUGUAUCUUCAAAGCUGCAGAAAUAUCUAGCCUAACAAAGUAACGUGAUAUUUUCUGCAGAGUUGUGGCAUGCUGAAUUUUGUGAUCACCAUAAAACAUGAGGAUACUUCAUGAAUAAUACAUUGCAAUGCAAAUAAACUGUUUACUUCUA